GGAAUAUUGGACAAUGGGCGAAAGCCUGAUCCAGCAAUGCCGCGUGAGUGAUGAAGGCCUUAGGGUUGUAAAGCUCUUUUACCCGGGAUGAUAAUGACAGUACCGGGAGAAUAAGCUCCGGCUAACUCCGUGCCAGCAGCCGCGGUAAUACGGAGGGAGCUAGCGUUGUUCGGAAUUACUGGGCGUAAAGCGCACGUAGGCGGCUUUGUAAGUUAGAGGUGAAAGCCCGGAGCUCAACUCCGGAAUUGCCUUUAAGACUGCAUCGCUUGAAUCCGGGAGAGGUGAGUGGAAUUCCGAGUGUAGAGGUGAAAUUCGUAGAUAUUCGGAAGAACACCAGUGGCGAAGGCGGCUCACUGGACCGGUAUUGACGCUGAGGUGCGAAAGCGUGGGGAGCAAACAGGA
rnacentral:misc_RNA from 1 species